rnacentral:lncRNA from 1 species
GCAGGGACCAGCCCUUUGGUAGGUGCGCUUUGCUUCCUAACCCGUUGCCGGGUUGGAGAUUCCACCUCCGAAGUUUUCUUUCUGACUUUUGAUUUUACAUUCCUAGUACAGUGGAGAAGCCCAGGCGGCCUAGAAUCCAGUGUCGUCCGUGAGUGCUUGGCUGGUGUUCAAGUGCAUCUUCCAGCCUGAGACCGCGUGGACUCGCUCAUCGUGAGGGCGAGAGGAGGAUAAGCCCAUUGGGCUGUCGGCUGAGAGUGAGAUUGCUGAUGAAAUCCUUGGCAUCGUCGGAGAUCUCAUCGAAUGCCUCGUCGUCGAAGUCCCAGGUGGCUGAGGUAACGUUGGCCAAGGUUUCGUUAUCGUUGUCUCCCAUGAAGGGGGAAAGGCCACUGACUCUGGAGAGACAAGAGCAGGACAGCAGGUGUGGCUAGGAGAGGGCGCGACGACCAGAUGAGGGAAUUGAGGCACAGCCCAGGCUCAAGUCACCUGCCCAAAGAUUCACAGCCAGUGAGAUUGGAAGCCAGGUAUCUGCCUCUAGAGCCUGUCCUCUUAAAUGCUAUACUAUCCUAACAUUUCUGUAAAGAUGAAGUAAAUUGCAGUGUUCAGCACUGGCACCAGGCCUGGUCCACAGUAAGGAGGCGGUCCAUGCCCGGAGAUCUCAUGCAGUUCUGCUGGGUUCCCUCCACUGCCUUACCAAGCUGUGAGUGCAGGAAUGACUUUGUGACCAGCAGCUUAAGCCAAAUAAACUUUAUAAGGUAAAGAAUUUCAAAACAAAA